UACAGGGGGGGCAAGCGUUGUUCGGAAUUACUGGGCGUAAAGGGCUCGUAGGCGGCCAACUAAGUCCGACGUGAAAUCCCCGGGCUUAACCUGGGAACUGCAUUGGUGACUGGCAGGCUUUGAGUGUGGCAGAGGGAGGUAGAAUUCCAUGUGUAGCAGUGAAAUGCGUAGAGAUGUGGAGGAAUACCGAUGGCGAAGGCAGCCCCCUGGGAUAACACUGACGCUCAUGCACGAAAGCGUGGGGAGCAAACAGG
rnacentral:rRNA from 1 species